CUCGUUGUACUCUAUCCUUAAGCCAAUGUUCUACCCAAGAACAAGAAUAUUCAUCUAGACCAAUUUCUUUUAGUUUGAAGACUAACCUAUUGUGAGGAACCGUAUCAAAUGCCUUGGCAAAAUUCAAGUAGAUCACAUCCACUGCAACACCCUGAUCUAUACUUCUACUUACUUCUUCUUAGAAUGCAAUUAGGUUAGUUUGACAUGACCUAUGUUUCAUAAAACCAUG